rnacentral:sRNA from 1 species
UUGGAUGGAGCGCAGGACGCGCUCAGUCAGGUCAAGGAUGACUGGCCGUCGCUAGGAAGGCAGCUUAAAGGAGGCUUUGAGUACGGUCAGCAAAAACCCGCUUCGGCGGGUUUUU